rnacentral:misc_RNA from 1 species
AAAAUGCGAUACUUGGUGUGAAUUGCAGAAUCCCGUGAACCAUCGAGUUUUUGAACGCAAGUUGCGCCCGAAGCCUUCCGGUUGAGGGCACGUCUGCCUGGGCGUCACGCAUCACGUCGCCCCCACCACGCCUCCCUUCUAGGGACGUCUUUGGUUGGGGCGGAGAUUGGUCUCCCGUGCCCAUGGCGUGGUUGGCCUAAAUAGGAGUCUCCUUAAGAGGGACGCACGGCUAGUGGUGGUUGAUAACACAGUCGUCUCGUGUCGUGCGUUUUCAUUCUUGGGUGUAGAUGCUCUUAGAAUACCCUGACGCGUUGUCUUGCGACAGUGCUUCGAUCGCGACCCCAGGUCAGGCGGGACUACCCGCUGAGUUUAA